rnacentral:rRNA from 1 species
GAUGAACGCUGGCGGCGUGCCUAAUACAUGCAAGUCGAGCGAACAGAUGAGGAGCUUGCUCCUCUGACGUUAGCGGCGGACGGGUGAGUAACACGUGGAUAACCUACCUAUGAGACUGGGAUAACUUCGGGAAACCGGAGCUAAUACCGGAUAAUAUAUUGAACCGCAUGGUUCAAUAGUGAAAGACGGUUUUGCUGUCACUUAUAGAUGGAUCCGCGCCGCAUUAGCUAGUUGGUAAGGUAACGGCUUACCAAGGCAACGAUGCGUAGCCGACCUGAGAGGGUGAUCGGCCACACUGGAACUGAGACACGGUCCAGACUCCUACGGGAGGCAGCAGUAGGGAAUCUUCCGCAAUGGGCGAAAGCCUGACGGAGCAACGCCGCGUGAGUGAUGAAGGUCUUCGGAUCGUAAAACUCUGUUAUUAGGGAAGAACAAAUGUGUAAGUAACUAUGCACGUCUUGACGGUACCUAAUCAGAAAGCCACGGCUAACUACGUG